GGGCCCGCACAAGCGGUGGAGCAUGUGGUUUAAUUCGAUGAUACGCGAGGAACCUUACCAGGGCUUAAAUGUGAGUGAUCGGUGCUGAAAGGCACUUUUCCUUCGGGACACGAAACAAGGUGCUGCAUGGUUGUCGUCAGCUCGUGCCGUGAGGUGUUGGGUUAAGUCCCGUAACGAGCGCAACCCUCGUCCCUAUUUGCCAGCACUUCGGGUGGGAACUCUAGGGAGACUGCCGGUGACAAACCGGGGAAGGUGGGGACGACGUCAAGUCAUCAUGGCCCUUACGGGCUGGGCUACACACGUGCUACAAUGGCAGUGACAGAGGGACGCUACCAGGUGACUGGAUGCAAAUCCACAAAACCGGGCCCAGUUCGGAUUGGAGUCUGCAACUCGACUCCAUG
rnacentral:rRNA from 1 species